CCUCACCGCCCUUUUCCCUUCACGCUACGAAUACAUUUCACAUUCCAGAAAUACCCUCCCACCACUGCUCUAACACACUCGAGCUCACUCUCUCGUCCCCCUCUCACCCGCCCCUUCUCACUCCCCUCCAGAUCCCCGCCGUCGCCGGCCUCUCCUCGACUCCCUUUCUCUCCACCACCACGCACCCCGUACCGUAGGUCAAAAGCUUGAUUUUUUAGGCGCCGGCGACGAGCUUCUGGGCGACGGAGGCUGGAUCCGCGUGCGUCCACGCCGGCUUCGCAGCGGCGCUUGAUGUGGAGCGGCGCUGGAGCAGCGGAGCGGGGCUUUCUUCCUCACCUCACAGCGCCGUCCUCCUCCACGACCACGCAGCCGCAGCGGCGGAGGAGCCGAAUCCCUAGCCAGCGAGCUCAGGGAGCCAUGGGUCCAUGGGGCGACGCCAUGGAAGGGCCACCAACUACAGCAGCGAGGAGAGGAGAAAGGGAGUAGCCUGACGGUCGUCUUCCACCUCCGCCUACGCCCCCGCCGGAAAUAGUACAAUGGCCAAGGAAAUAGGUAGGAGGCGCCGCUUCCCGGAUGGAUAUGGACAUGCUUCUCCAACUCUGCUUCUUCCUGGGUCGCCAUGGAAGAAAGCAGUAAGAAUCUAAGAAAGCUGAAGCCUUCCAGCACACUGCAGCAAUAAGAAGAGCGCAAGUCGAACAAGGACACAGCUCACACACUACGGUGGACAGAAAGGUAUUUAACUGUUGGUACAAAGCUGGUUGGAGAUACCUCUGUCCUGUGAUGCUUUUUCAAUGUAGUUGGAGUUCAAGUUAAAGAUGCAUUCGAGUAGUACUGUAAUAUGCAGGUAACUACGUUGCUGAAACAGUUGAUGAUGGCAAACCUAGGGCAUGAUGGGCACCGUUGAACAUAACAAAGGUGGAUCUCCGUCCUUUGCAGCAACAGCCGUCGAGCGAAGGUUGUGGUUCGGACGCCGAGGUUGCGGUGCAGUUGUGCUGAUCGCACAGCUGGUCUCGCAUGUGAACAACGAUGUGGACUGACGGCGACUGAAGUGCCGUUUCUCUUCUCGGCGCAUGCGCGGGUCGGGUCGUUGGAGCUCGUACGCGAGGAAGAACUGGCGUUUCUGUCCUUGGUGGCGACGUGCGUUGGCGGGUCGAUGGGUCGAUGGAGCUCAUUCGAUGGUUUGAUUUUUGGUCGAUGGACCUCGUUCGUGGGUUGCCGAACUGUUUUGCUGUUGGCUGGGCGUGUGAUCGUGGGGUUUGGUUCGUUUGACUGGUGGUCCAUGGGCCGAAUAUCGGAUGAGUUGCCCUUGGUUUUUUGGGCUUGCGGGCUGGAUUUUGUGCGGACGUGUGGGACACCGCGCAAUGGCUUUCGUACGAGGCGGGGGGAUCGAACGAGGUGGUCGAACCAUCACGACGUUCGAUCCCCCUUUAAUAGUAGAGAUACGGACACUGUUGACUGUGCGCUGAUUGUUGAGUGUUAAGUGUCUAUUUAAGUUAUGUCCUAUAUUUAUCCAAAGUCAAUGUCAUAGUCUCAUAACAGUACAUCCUCUUAGGUGCA